rnacentral:rRNA from 1 species
AUUGAACGCUGGCGGCAGGCUUAACACAUGCAAGUCGGGCGGGGGAAGGUAGCUUGCUACCGGACCUAGCGGCGGACGGGUGAGUAAUGCUUAGGAAUCUGCCUAUUAGUGGGGGACAACAUCUCGAAAGGGAUGCUAAUACCGCAUACGUCCUACGGGAGAAAGCAGGGGAUCUUCGGACCUUGCGCUAAUAGAUGAGCCUAAGUCGGAUUAGCUAGUUGGUGGGGUAAAGGCCUAACAAGGCGACGAUCUGUAGCGGGUCUGAGAGGAUGAUCCGCCACACUGGGACUGAGACCCGGCCCAGACUCCUACGGGAGGCAGCAGUGGGGAAUAUUGGACAAUGGGGGGAACCCUGAUCCAGCCAUGCCGCGUGUGUGAAGAAGGCCUUAUGGUUGUAAAGCACUUUAAGCGAGGAGGAGGCUACUCUAGUUAAUACCUAGGGAUAGUGGACGUUACUCGCAGAAUAAGCACCGGCUAACUCUGUGCCAGCAGCCGCGGUAA